rfam:Monodelphis domestica chromosome 2, whole genome shotgun sequence.
CUGGGUUAUGGAGACAUGUACCCCAGGACGUGGUCAGGGAUGUUAGUGGGGGCACUGUGUGCAUUGGCUGGGGUACUCACCAUCGCCAUGCCUGUCCCUGUCAUCGUCAACAAC